AGAUCUGCACCCCUAACCCAGCCUGAGGGUGACUAUUCAGUCUACAGUCAUUAGGUCCUCAACCCAUAGACACACUCUGUGGGCUUCAGGUUUGGCCUGACAGACAGUAGGCCAACUGUGACCAGUUAGAGGCAGCUGGUAGCAUGAUGACAGAGGGUGGGUUUAGAUCCCUCCAGUCUCCACCUAGGAUUAGUGAAUCUUCUGUGACAAGCUUCACUCGGUUUCACUGCCGGGCAGAGUGCCCCACCUUAAGAUGGCGAUGGCGGAGGGCCUCGUAAGGUGAUUGGUCAGACGGGCAACCAAUGAAUUCCCCGGAUUUGGGAUGUCACGUGGUCUAAGAGCGUCCUGAUAAGUCCGUCGGCGGCUUCACCAGUGCUUGAGCCGGUCAGGCAGCGGGCUAGGGGAGAGUAGGAGCAGGCGCUGUGCGCACGGCUUCCUAGAUUCACGUUAAGGUCCGACUUUUCGUAGCCAUCGGACUCGAGAAGUAUUUAGCUCCAGGCGCUAAUCCGCUUCCUGGACGGUGAC
rnacentral:lncRNA from 1 species